CGUGGGUAACCUGCCCAAGAGAUCGGGAUAACACCUGGAAACAGAUGCUAAUACCGGAUAACAAUAGAUGAUGCCUAUCAACUGUUUAAAAGAUGGUUCUGCUAUCACUCUUGGAUGGACCUGCGGUGCAUUAGCUAGUUGGUAGGGUAACGGCCUACCAAGGCGAUGACGCAUAGCCGAGUUGAGAGACUGAUCGGCCACAUUGGGACUGAGACACGGCCCAAACUCCUACGGGAGGCAGCAGUA
rnacentral:rRNA from 1 species